GGUUAGGGUUAGGGGUUACACUAGGGUUUAGGGGUUGGGGUUACACUAGGGGUUAGGGUUAGGAGUUACACUAGGGGUUAGGGUUAGGGGUUACACUAGGGGUUAGGGUUAGGGGUUACACUAGGGGUUAGGGUUAGGGGUUACACUAGGGGUUAGGGUUAGGGGUUACACUAGGGGUUAGGGGUUACACUAGGGGUUAGGGUUAGGGGUUACACUGGGGGUUAGGGUUCGGGUUAGGGGUUACACUAGGGGUUAGGGUUAGGGGUUACACUAAGGGUUAGGGUUAGGAGUUACACUAGGGGUUA
ensembl:lncRNA